UACGUAGGGGCCUAGCGUUGUCCGGAUUUAUUGGGCGUAAAGAGCUCGUAGGCGGUUCGGCAAGUCGGAUGUGAAAUCUCCACGCUUAACGUGGAGGGGCCAUUCGAAACUGCCGUGACUCGAGUCCGGUAGGGGAGUGUGGAAUUCCCGGUGUAGCGGUGAAAUGCGUAGAUAUCUGGAGGAAUACCGGUGGCGAAGGCGGCAUCCUGGACCGACAUUGACGCUGAUGAGCGAAAGCUAGGGGAGCAAACGGG
rnacentral:rRNA from 1 species